rnacentral:rRNA from 1 species
UGGUCCAGACUUUGAUCCUGGCUCAGGACGAACGCUGGCGGCGCGCCUAACACAUGCAAGUCGAACGGAGAUUACAGGCGGAAGUUUUCGGAUGGAAGCUUGUAAACUUAGUGGCGGACGGGUGAGUAACACGUGAGCAACCUGCCUAUCAGAGGGGGAUAACGAUUGGAAACGAUCGCUAAUACCGCAUGACAUAGCGGAACCGCAUGGUUCUGUUAUCAAAGAUUUUAUCGCUGAUAGAUGGGCUCGCGUCCGAUUAGAUAGUUGGUGGGGUAACGGCCUACCAAGUCGACGAUCGGUAGCCGGAUUGAGAGGUCGAACGGCCACAUUGGGACUGAGACACGGCCCAGACUCCUACGGGAGGCAGCAGUGGGGGAUAUUGCACAAUGGGGGAAACCCUGAUGCAGCGACGCCGCGUGAGGGAAGACGGUCCUCUGGAUUGUAAACCUCUGUCUUCGGGGACGAAACGAGACGGUACCCGAGGAGGAAGCCACGGCUAACUACGUGCCAGCAGCCGCGGUAAUACGUAGGUGGCAAGCGUUGUCCGGAAUUACUGGGUGUAAAGGGAGCGUAGGCGGGCAGGCAAGUCAGGCGUGAAAUAUAUCGGCUCAACCGGUAACGGCGCUUGAAACUGCAGGUCUUGAGUGAAGUAGAGGUUGGCGGAAUUCCUAGUGUAGCGGUGAAAUGCGUAGAUAUUAGGAGGAACACCAGUGGCGAAGGCGGCCAACUGGGCUUUUACUGACGCUGAGGCUCGAAAGUGUGGGGAGCAAACAGGAUUAGAUACCCUGGUAGUCCACACCGUAAACGAUGAUUACUAGGUGUGGGGGGACUGACCCCUUCCGUGCCGGAGUUAACACAAUAAGUAAUCCACCUGGGGAGUACGGCCGCAAGGUUGCAACUCAAAGGAAUUGACGGA